rnacentral:lncRNA from 1 species
AAUAAUCAUGAUAUUUGUUUAGCUUUUCCCAUGUGCUUAACACUGUAGUACCUGCUGGUAUAGAUACAAGAUAAUCAGGUCAGACACACUCCCUAACCCACGGUCAAAGAAGGAGAGAGAACAGGAAUGUAAUCCCCUAUUAAUAGACGAGGACACAAUAGACGAGGCACAAAGAAAUUAUGUAACUCACCUUGGGUCAUUCAGCAGGCAAGUGUCAGAAAUGGGUUUAGAACCCAGGUCUCCUGACUUCCAGGUUUAUGCUCUUUCCACUAGGUUAUGCUGCUUCUCCAUGUAGCAUCCCAUCUCAUAAAAGAAAUGCAUGCAGCAGAAAAGACUCUGCUUCCCGAAAAGAGGCUCAGGUUGCAUUAGGAAUUUGAUCAUGGCAAAGAAAGAUCCAGUCAAGAGAUUUUCCCCUUCUCUCACUUAGCACCUCUCUUAUCCCUGCAGGUCAGAGGCCAAGCCCAACCUCAACAACUAAAACAGACCCCAGCCCGUCUUCUCCGACUGUCUGCAAGGGAGUGGCCACACAUGUGGCCAUCUGCUGGGUGUUUGGGACCCUUCUCUGCUUCACUUCAGUGCUUCUAGGGGUUCAGAUGUGGAGCAGAAGAGGACAACACGCUGUUUCCAACAGAGACAAGCAUUCCUUCUCAGACGGUGUCUAUGAAGAUCUCACUAAUAUCCCGUUGGAGGAGAAGUAUGAGGAGAUCGAAGACUUUGAAGACAACCCACCAGGGGAGCCAUACGAUGAUACUGAGGAGUUUGGUGACCAGCUAACCGAGAAGGAGGCCAGCCCAUUGGCAGGUCUGGGGCUGUUUCAGGAUCCUUUCUACUGCAAAUCACCAAUCUGAGUGUGAUAAUAACAAU